UGGGGAAUAUUGCGCAAUGGGCGAAAGCCUGACGCAGCGACGCCGCGUGAGGGAUGAAGGUUUUCGGAUCGUAAACCUCUGUCAGAAGGGAAGAAACCGCACUGUGCUAAUCAGCAGUGCCUUGACGGUACCUUCAAAGGAAGCACCGGCUAACUCCGUGCCAGCAGCCGCGGUAAUACGGAGGGUGCAAGCGUUAAUCGGAAUUACUGGGCGUAAAGCGCACGUAGGCUGCUUUGUAGGUCAGGGGUGAAAUCCCACGGCUCAACCGUGGAACUGCCUUUGAUACUGCUUAGCUUGAAUCCGGGAGAGGGUGGCGGAAUUCCAGGUGUAGGAGUGAAAUCCGUAGAUAUCUGGAGGAACAUCAGUGGCGAAGGCGGCCACCUGGACCGGUAUUGACGCUGAGGUGCGAAAGCGUGGGGAGCAAACAGG
rnacentral:rRNA from 1 species